rnacentral:rRNA from 1 species
GGGUAACCUGCCUGUAAGACUGGGAUAACUCCGGGAAACCGGGGCUAAUACCGGAUGGUUGUUUGAACCGCAUGGUUCAAACAUAAAAGGUGGCUUCGGCUACCACUUACAGAUGGACCCGCGGCGCAUUAGCUAGUUGGUGAGGUAACGGCUCACCAAGGCAACGAUGCGUAGCCGACCUGAGAGGGUGAUCGGCCACACUGGGACUGAGACACGGCCCAGACUCCUACGGGAGGCAGCAGUAGGGAAUCUUCCGCAAUGGACGAAAGUCUGACGGAGCAACGCCGCGUGAGUGAUGAAGGUUUUCGGAUCGUAAAGCUCUGUUGUUAGGGAAGAACAAGUACCGUUCGAAUAGGGCGGUACCUUGACGGUACCUAACCAGAAAGCCACGGCUAACUACGUGCCAGCAGCCGCGGUAAUACGUAGGUGGCAAGCGUUGUCCGGAAUUAUUGGGCGUAAAGGGCUCGCAGGCGGUUUCUUAAGUCUGAUGUGAAAGCCCCCGGCUCAACCGGGGAGGGUCAUUGGAAACUGGGGAACUUGAGUGCAGAAGAGGAGAGUGGAAUUCCACGUGUAGCGGUGAAAUGCGUAGAGAUGUGGAGGAACACCAGUGGCGAACGCGACUCUCUGGUCUGUAACUGACGCUGAGGAGCGAAAACGUGGGGAGCGAACAGGAUUAGAUACCCUGGUACUCCACGCCCUAAACGAUGAGUGCUAAGUGUGAGGGGGUUUCCGCCCCCUUAGUGCUGCAGCUAAUGCAUUAAUCACUCCGCCCGGGGGAGUAGUGUCGCCAGGACGGAUACUCCUAGGAGUUGACGGGCGGCCCGCACAAACCUUGGAGCCUGUGGUUUUAUUUCAAACCACCCGCACAAACAUAACAAGUCGUGACGUCGUCUGACAAUCCUCCAAGUAG